AGAACGAACGCUGGCGGCGUGGAUAAGACAUGCAAGUCGAACGGGAUAUCUUUUGUAGCAAUACAGGGGAUGUUCAGUGGCGUAAGGGUGCGUAACACGUGGGCAAUCUGCCAAUUGAAGUGGGGGAUAGCUCGCCGAAAGGCGAAUUAAUACCGCAUGUGGUUAAGAGAGGAUUCUCUCUGACACCAAAGCCGGGGACCGUCGCAAGACGGCCUGGCGCUUCUUGAUGAGCCCGCGGCCUAUCAGCUUGUUGGUGAGGUCACGGCUCACCAAGGCGAUGACGGGUAGCUGGUCUGAGAGGACGACCAGCCACACUGGAACUGAGACACGGUCAGACACCUACGGGUGCAGCAGUCGAGAAUUUUCUCAAUGGGGGGCAACCCUGAAGGAGCGACGCCGCGUGGAGGAUGAAAGGUCUUCGGAUUGUAAACUCCUGUCAUUGGGAACAAGGUGCGAAGGUUAACUGCCUUCGUAUUGAUAGUACCUGAAGAGGAAA
rnacentral:rRNA from 1 species